rnacentral:rRNA from 1 species
AUUGGGGAAUUUUCCGCAAUGGGCGAAAGCCUGACGGAGCAACGCCGCGUGAGGGAUGAAGGCCUCUGGGCUGUAAACCUCUUUUAUCAAGGAAGAAGAUCUGACGGUACUUGAUGAAUAAGCCACGGCUGAUUCCGUGCCAGCAGCCGCGGUAAUACGGGAGUGGCAAGCGUUAUCCGGAAUUAUUGGGCGUAAAGCGUCCGCAGGCGGCCCUUCAAGUCUGCUGUUAAAAAGUGGAGCUUAACUCCAUCAUGGCAGUGGAAACUGUUGGGCUUGAGUGUGGUAGGGGCAGAGGGAAUUCCCGGUGUAGCGGUGAAAUGCGUAGAUAUCGGGAAGAACACCAGUGGCGAAGGCGCUCUGCUGGGCCAUCACUGACGCUCAUGGACGAAAGCCAGGGGAGCGAAAGGGAUUAGAUACCCCUGUAGUCAAU